UUAAAAAUUUGUCCACGUGGUUACAACAGCCGGUAAUCAAUCUUAACCUGAAUUCUGAAUCUGCCAGUGUCAUUCUAGUGAAUCGUGCCUUUCCGCGUUCUGAUGUCCUCACUUUGACCUUUUAUGCUUACUGGACUGUUUAUCACAGUCUUAUGUCGCGUGAAUGUCCCGGUGAUGCGGCGGUAUGGGUAGCGUGUGUGCCUACCUUAUAUAAGAGAAUGUGGUGAUGUGGGCUUCAAUCCGUCAUUAGGACGCUUCGUUUUGUGCGAAAGAGAUGCUUAGCAGCAAAUGACUACUACUCUUCAUCAUCGUAACUCCACGAUCUGCAGUGGUACAGAUCAUCAUUUCGAUAAGGCUUUAUUGCAGGGAAACACUAAUCACUUACAGGCGGCAAAGGCGGAUUCAAAGCCUGCCUUAGAAAGUUGCUGCCACAUCGGCCUCGCUAAUACUUAAGAAAGUGGCGUGCGAGCUGAUGAUCAAAGUGCGUUGAUUUUUAAACCUCAUUUAUUUUGCUUUUCUUUAUGCUUUUGCUGUGUGUUGGAAUCACUGAAAAACUUAACCUUGCUUAAUAACUGAGAAACUUUUUGUAAGACAAGCGAACAGUUUGUGGAUAAAGAAGUUUAAGAUCAGAGAACGAAAUUGUGUUAACUGCUUUAAAAUAGUUCAAUUGUACUCAUUUUAUGAAAUUUCCAGUAACACUACAAUGUAUCUUUUCGAUUUCCUUCUUUCCUUAACAAGCAUUAUUAAAAGUUCGGGGUGCAACUUAUUUCUGGUAGAAUGAAGAACUUCCGUUUUUAAUAUUUCUAACGCAUGUUUUGCUCUACGGUCUAAAUUGCAAUGAGCACAGGUGUCAAAGCAUUUGUUUAGAGUGUGUACAAAUGUUUACUCUGGGCUAGGUAUCAUGUUUGGUUUAUAACAAUAACUUGUUCGAAGCGUAUGCUUCUUUCAUUUAGCUGUCACAGCCAUAUUACGUAAGGAAGCCUGCAAUUCAAGUGAAGUUAGACGUUUCCUUGCACCACUCUUCAAGGAACGCGCUAUAAGUACCUACCUAAAACUUUUUACGCUGCUCUGUACUUCUGGACCUGGAUCGUCCCUGUAAUCAUAAGUGGUCGCGGCAGUGAUAUUAUGGCCCAGUGCGUAAGCUGAAACCUAGCAUUUACUGGUGCCCCCGACGCACAAACACCGUUUUUCGGGCAUUGCAAACUACACGCAGUUAGUAUCAAGACAAAUUAGUUAAAAAUAAAGUAGAUACAAGCAGUUCAUAAAUGUACUUAGAGCAUUAUGCUGUAGGCAUCAGGUUAUCGUGAUUAAAAAAUCCGCCAUUUCAAAUAUUUAGGUGUGGUGAUUCACAAUUCAAAAUCGACACGAAGCUAAUUGUAGAGCAAAAUUGCGAGUUUACAAAGGCUGAACUGUUAUCCUACACGGUUGAUCCAGAUUAAAUUUCAAGACUUAAUAACAUGAAUCUAUUACCUUCGUUUUGCUGUCAUUAACGGUAAGAUAAUAAGUUGGCAGAAACAAAUCCCCGUUCUUUAAAUAAUAAAAACGCAGCAUUUUAUUCGAAUUUCAGCUACAAAUUUGUUUAUGUAUCCGGUUUAUUGUGUAUUAAUCGUUCGGUCCUCCGAUGUUGAAGAAUUCAUCUAGCCAU